CCGGAGGCCAUUUUGCAUUAUAUGUAAAUAAUCGUUGAAACACAGUUAAGUUGAGCUGGAAUUGUUCGUGAAGUCUUACCGAAACUGUGAUCUGGCAAUUUUCCAGCAUAGCUGCACUGAUAUAAUUAUCCCUGUUUUCUCCUUGCUACUCACUGAUAUCGCAUUUGGUUCACUGCUUACAAUACUUCCACAGUCAUCUCUCAAGUGCACGACUUACUAAAUGCUACACCAUCGUCAUGUGAAGUAAAUAAACGAUUUUACGUCUUCUGUCCUUACGUCUCCGGGUGCCUACAUCGUGCCUGAAAAUGGUUUACUCGUAUGGAGAACUAAGGGCCACUAGAAGAUACGUGAAACAGAUUAUCAAAGAACUAAUGGAUAGUUGAUCUGAGUUGGUGUGCACCAAAAUGGCAACAACCAGGAGAAGGCACAAUUAUUUAUCUGGUAUCAACAACAGUAUGGGAUGGCACCACCGAAAUAAACAAGCAUAAUGAGGUGGUUCAGAAACUUAAAAAUGAAAUGUCACAGACUUCCUCUGAAGUGAUGUCUGCUUGGGCCUCAAGCAAAUGUUGACUGAGUGCCAACAGCAUUUUAGCACAGCCCCCAGCAGUCAGUUCGUUGAAGAUCACAUGAAUUGCAGGAAUUGAGCCCAACUGUACAUAGUGUUACAUAAGUGAUCAUGCCUUUUGCAUACAAAGUGAAAAUUGUCCAAGCAUUACAGCCAAAUAAUCAUUUUUCUGUGGCAUUCAUUCAUGUGUUCUAUGCUGUUGACCAUAGAUGCUGACAAUGACAGCCUGAAAAAGGGCCAGUUUUCAGUUAGAGCAACAUUCCAAAUUUCUGGACAUGUGAUUUGCCACGACGUUACAAUUUGGGGCUCCAAAAACUCAGACAACAUACGUGAACACAUCUGUGGCAGUUCAAACCUUAAA